UUUUCCUUUUUCUUUUUUCCUUUUUUCUGUUUCGUGUUUUCUUUUUCUUUUUGUUUCCUUUUUCUUUUUCCUGUUUCUUGUUUUAUUUUUCUUUUUUCCUUUUUUCUGUUUCCUGUUUUCUUUUUCUUUUUGUUUCCUUUUUCUUUUUCCUGUUUCUUCUUUUAUUUUUCUUUUUUCCUUUUUUCUGUUUCCUGUUUUUUUUUUCUUUUUGUUUCCUUUUUCUUUUUCCUGUUUCUUCUUUUAUUUUUCUUUUUUUUCCCUUUU
rnacentral:lncRNA from 1 species